rnacentral:rRNA from 1 species
AGUACGUGAAACUGCUUAGAGGUUAAACCCGAUGAACCUGAAUAUCCGUUAUGGAAAAUUCAUCAUUAAUAUUAUUAUAUUUAAAAAUAUAAUAAAAAUAGUGUGCAAUUUUUCCAUAUAAGGACAUUGUAAUCUGUUAAUGUUUUAAAUAUUUAUCAAAAAGUCUAUAACAUAAGUUUAUUCAAAUUAGUUAUUUUCGAAUUUCUAACAUAGAAUAAUUGUAUUAGAUUCGAUAAAUCAUUGACAGAUUUUACUAUAUAUAAUGCUUAAAUUCAUUUUUGAAUUUUAUAAUUAUAGUAAAAAUUUAUUUUUAUUUAUAAUUAUAUGCAUUUAUAUGAUUAACAAUGCGAUAGAUUCAGGAUACCUUCGGGACCCGUCUUGAAACACGGACCAAGGAGUCUAACAUAUGUGCAAGUCAUUGGGUAUUUUUAAUAAAACCCAAUGGCAUAAUUAACUUAACUGUUUUUUAAUGGGAUUAGUUUAUAUUUUAUUAUGAAAUAAAAAUUCAAUCCCGGGGCGUUCUAUACAGUUAUGCAUAAUGAUAUUUAUAUUAUUUAUGCCUCUAACUAGAGC